GAUGAACGCUGGCGGCGUGCCUAAUACAUGCAAGUCGAGCGAACAGACGAGGAGCUUACUCCUCUGACGUUAGCGGCGGACGGGUGAGUAACACGUGGAUAACCUACCUAUAAGACUGGGAUAACUUCGGGAAACCGGAGCUAAUACCGGAUAACAUGUUGAACCGCAUGGUUCAACAGUGAAAGACGGUCUUGCUGUCACUUAUAGAUGGAUCCGCGUCGCAUUAGCUAGUUGGUAAGGUAACGGCUUACCAAGGCAACGAUGCGUAGCCGACCUGAGAGGGUGAUCGGCCACACUGGAACUGAGACACGGUCCAGACUCCUACGGGAGGCAGCAGUAGGGAAUCUUCCGCAAUGGGCGAAAGCCUGACGGAGCAACGCAGCGUGAGUGAAGAAGGUCUUCGGAUCGUAAAACUCUGUUAUUAGGGAAGAACAAAUGUGUAAGUAACUAUGCACGCCUUGACGGUACCUAAUCAGAAAGCCACGGCUAACUACGUG
rnacentral:rRNA from 1 species